rnacentral:rRNA from 1 species
AGAGUUUGAUCAUGGCUCAGGAUGAACGCUGGCGGCGUGCUUAACACAUGCAAGUCGAACGGGGCACCCCUGAAGGAGUUUUCGGACAACUGAUGGGACUGCUUAGUGGCGGACGGGUGAGUAACGCGUGAGUAACCUGCCUUGGAGUGGGGAAUAACAGCUGGAAACAGCUGCUAAUACCGCAUAAUGCAGUUGGGUCGCAUGGCUCUGACUGCCAAAGAUUUAUCGCUCUGAGAUGGACUCGCGUCUGAUUAGCUAGUUGGUGGGGUAACGGCCCACCAAGGCGACGAUCAGUAGCCGGACUGAGAGGUUGGUCGGCCACAUUGGGACUGAGACACGGCCCAGACUCCUACGGGAGGCAGCAGUGGGGAAUAUUGGGCAAUGGGCGCAAGCCUGACCCAGCAACGCCGCGUGAAGGAAGAAGGCUUUCGGGUUGUAAACUUCUUUUCUCAGGGACGAAGAAAGUGACGGUACCUGAGGAAUAAGCCACGGCUAACUACGUGCCAGCAGCCGCGGUAAUACGUAGGUGGCAAGCGUUAUCCGGAUUUACUGGGUGUAAAGGGCGUGU